GAAAGAUUUAACAUUGAGACGAGUGGCGAACUGGUGAGUAACACGUGGGUAACCUGCCCUUGAAGUAGGGGAUAACACUUGGAAACAGGUGCUAAUACCGUAUAACAACCAAAACCACCUGGUUUUGGUUUAAAAGACGGCUUCGGCUGUCACUUUAGGAUGGACCCGCGGCGUAUUAGCUUGUUGGUAAGGUAACGGCCUACCAAGGCGAUGAUACGUAGCCGACCUGAGAGGGUAAUCGGCCACAUUGGGACUGAGACACGGCCCAAACUCCUACGGGAGGCAGCAGUAGGGAAUCUUCCACAAUGGACGAAAGUCUGAUGGAGCAACGCCGCGUGAGUGAUGAAGGGUUUCGGCUCGUAAAACUCUGUUGUUGGAGAAGAACAGGUGUCAGAGUAACUGUUGACAUCUUGACGGUAUCCAACCAGAAAGCCACGGCUAACUACGUGCCAGCAGCCGCGGUAAUACGUAGGUGGCAAGCGUUGUCCGGAUUUAUUGGGCGUAAAGCGAGCGCAGGCGGUUUUUUAGGUCUGAUGUGAAAGCCUUCGGCUUAACCGGAGAAGUGCAUCGGAAACCGGGAGACUUGAGUG
rnacentral:rRNA from 1 species